CCGCUCUUUAGAGCCAAGUUGUGUGACACCUGAGAAAAUUCCCUUCACCUUCUUUUUGGACCCAAAGUGGUGCGGCCGUGUGGGAACAUCUGCCUCGUGGCCGUGGAUCAAAUGUUAGCCAAUUUUUUAAAAAAAUCAAUCUAGCCCUCAGGCUAUCCCCAGGAAUGGCUGCAGGUUCACAGGUUCUGAAGGUUGUUUCCGACAAGAUGCUCCACCUACAGUUUCUGCAGAAAACCAAGGUUAGCCUCACCCAGGAACUGGGAGUCCAGGGUAUAUUUUGGCAACCGCUUUCGAGAUCUGGGUGCGUGUGUUCAGCAUUUGGGCCAUUUGAUUUCUCACAAAAUGAAACACGCGGAGUGUGGCUUCUCCUGCUUAGUUACGGACUGCCUCCAUACUUCGAACACCUUGACCACCUGUCCAGCAUUUCCCCAUCUCUUCACAGCUGCUGGGAUUUGGUGCAUUGUACCCGUUCGGCUGAAAACAGCGUGGGCUAAGUGGCAGAUGAGAAGACAGAUACAAGGAGGAGAGGAGAAAGCUGUGUGAAGACAGAGGCAGAGACUGGAGUGACGCAGCCACAAGUCAGGGAACACCUGAAGCCACCAGAAGCUGGAAGAGGCAAGGAAAGAUUCUCCCCUAGAGGCUUUGGCCCCGCCUGACACCUUGAUAUUGGACUUGUGGCCUGGAGAACAGAAUAAAUUUAGGUUGUCUUAAGCCACCAAGUUUGAGGUCAUUCGUUACAGCAGCCAUCAGAAAGUAACCCACCACUAUCUCUUCUCAUUGAGAAGAUACGUUCACUAGAGUCCAUGCCCUGCUUAGAACACCAUGACAUUACACUCUUG
rnacentral:lncRNA from 1 species